AGCUGCAUUUUUCGUCGUAGAUAUGAACAACGUCAAAAUGACAUGCUUUGUUUGUAUUUGUAUGUUUAUGAUUUGUCUAGUUGUAAUUUUUAUUGGGUGAAUGGUUAUUUCACCCUUGCGAGCACAUUAUAAUUCAAUAUUAUGCACGUUUGCUGGGCUCUUUGUGGAAAUGGAACAUUUAUUCCCAUAUGCCAAUUUAUUGACCUUUAAUUCAAUUCAUUUAAAAUUUUAAGACAAUUUAUUUUGGCUGCAGCAUUGCUAGACCGUGGGGGAUCAUACAAUGUACUGGUUCGACUCGCUGAUUAUCGAAAAGACGUACAAAGAUUGAUUAAUGCAGGUCCACAAGAAUUGGCAAUAAUUUUAUCUGCUGGUGGUUUAUAUACUGCUGCAUUAAAGCUACUUACUGGCUUCGGAUUAUCACCUCUUCCCAUAUGGGUACGCCGCAUUACCAAGGAGGGCGCCAAUGAAGCAUGGACGUGGCUACAAGAAAAUGAACUGGCUGAUUUUUAGAAAAUUCUACGUUUUCUUCUAAAUUGGCGCGAUAACCGCUUACGCGAUUUUGGCCGAGUUCAACAAAGCGCGCCAGUCGUUUUUUUCUCGUACUAACCGGCGCCAAUUGGACACACCAAUUGAAGCCACAUCUUUCCUCCUGAUCUUUCCAACGUAGAGGAGGCCUUCCUCUUCCUCUGCUACAACCAGCUGGUACCGCAUCGAAUACUUUCAAAGCCGGAGCGUUUGUAUCCAUUCGGACGACAUGACCCAGCCAACAUAGCCGCUCGAUCUCUAUUCGCUGGGCUAUGUCUAUGUCGUCGUAAAGCUCCUACAGCUCAUCGUUCCAUCGCCUGCGAUAUUCGCCAUUGCCAACGUGCAAAGGUCAAAAAAUCUUAACGGCGCCUGCGGCUUUGUUAUUCUUUAGCCACGUUAUCGCCAUUCCCACCUCGUCAUGGUCGGGUAGCGGAACGACAAUCCCGUCGUCAACGAUUGGGGUAUCGGGAUCUUCACAUUCUCUGUGGCAUGCGCAGCUAUCACUGUAUAACAGGUUCGAGUAGUGUUCCCUCCAUAAUUUAAGAUUGCUCUGGAUGUCAGUCACCAGUUCGCCGUCUUUGUUCUUAGAGGAAAACGCCCCAGUCUUAAAACCUGACUAGAAGUUAGCGAAUUGUCCAGAGCUGUUGAAUUUGUUCGUCAAACAUAAUCCCUUAAUUGAAGCUGCCGAAUUACCACAUGCGCUGUUGGAGGCUGGAAGCGAAUAUACAUUAGAUCUUUUGUUGCAUGGAUUGAAAUUGAAUGUUAAUUCAGAUAUCGCGUUUAAGCUGGUGAUAACAGAUUUAGAGAACGUCAUACAGACCUAUAUCGAUACCGCACAGCGCACAGCAGAGGAUAAAAUCUAAAUGGAUUAAAUAAAAGUAAAAUA